UUAUCAAGUGCAGAAUUUCGAAGUUCGAAUCUUUCUUUUCUUGCUUUGUUCUUUUGGUUCAAUACCUGUGGUUGUGCCUGUCUUUUGGUUCUGCUCAAAAUUUCCCCACCAUUGAUAUGACCGUUUAUUUAUUUUUCUUAAACAAAGAAAAAGGAGAAUACUUUUUUUGGAUUCUUUUUGGUCCUAGAGAAUUUUGUUGCCACCCCAUUAAAUAAAUUCUCUCUUCACCUUUCAAAGUUCACACCUUUAUCCCUAUAAAAUCACAGUCACCAUAAAUUCAACACACAAACUCUCCCUUCUUUCUCUUCCAUUUUUCAGUUUUCUUCUCUAACACAAACCAAAUAUGAGAAAGAUCACAGCCCUACUGUUCAUGACUCUCUUACUCAGCUCCAUCAUCGCCCAUGCUGCGGCACGCCCUGAGUCAACUUUUCUCAGGCGAGGCUCGCUGAAUCCGGAAUUUCUGGGAGAAGAGAAUUGUCACGGCAUUGACGAGGAUGAAUGUUUGAAGAGGAGGGAACUUGCGGCAAACCUAGAUUAUAUUUAUACCCAAGACGAUAAUAAUUAAAGUUAAUUGUUUUGUAUUAUAUGUUAUCAUUUUAAUGUUUUACAUAUAUCAUAUUAUUUUGCUAUAUGCUACUAUUUGGACUUGCAAACUACUAGUUUUGUAAGUGUGAUGUUUAUGAAUGAAUAAUUUAUUAGGGGGAUUUUUGCAGAGCAGUCUACUCUCAAAUUCAAGUGUUUAUUAGUUCUUCUA